rnacentral:lncRNA from 1 species
AAUCAAAGUACAAUAAAUGUAAACUAAGAUAAAAAAAAUAUCUAUAGCACUAAUCUAAAUUUUUAUGAGAUGUCUAAGUGUCUGUCCUCCAAUGGUGAAUCACAUGAAAAUUAGACCAAAGAUAGUACUCCUCCUUCACCUUGCUUCAAGAGUUCUAGCCUCUAGAACUCAACUAGCCCUGUAUCGAUCAGGUUUCUCCAAAAACCUGACUCAACCCUCUUAGAACCUCCUCUAGAUUUUUGAUUCUCCUCUUUAGGACCCUCACAACCCUUGUUUAGAUCAGAUAAGGCUUUGUCUUAAAUCUCAAAGCCUUGUCCUAAAACAAAGAUGGUUGUCAGA